GCCUUCUUGGCGCAGUUGGCAGAGCGUCCCUAGUGGAAGGAGAAGGUAACCAGUUCAGUUCUGGUAGAAGGCA